rnacentral:lncRNA from 1 species
UUUAACAUUUUGCUACCAAAUAAAAAAUAUCAAAAUACUCAAACAUAUUCAUUACUAUUUUUUUGUUUUUAUUAGGAACAAAAAAUAUUAAUUCUUUAUGCGAUAAUUAAGACUGAAAACAAACCUUUGCUAACCUGAGGAGUAAAAACAAGCAUUAACCCAUGAUUUUUGUCUUUAGAGGAAUAUUUGUCUUUGAUUUCAACCCUCUAUAUUAAAUACAAUUGUUUCUUGAAAAGCACUUCUAAUUUCACAUUCGUGCUAACCCUUGUGAGCUGACCACCAAAUCUCUCUUUCAAAGGAGUUGGUGAAUUUUCAAUAAUUCAAAUAUCUGAACACGUCACGAAAUCCAAUUAUACAAAAUAUUUAGAGGUAAAAGUGUUAUAGAGGAACUUCUAUUAAGAGUAUUUGCCUUUUUUUUAUUAAAAAAUAGAUAAAUUAAUUCUUAUAUGUUAGAUAAGGGUGAGGUUCAAGGAUAAACAUGUUGAUCCGGAUGAGUCUAAGGGAUAUGGAAUUGUCUAAUUAGCCGACCUUGUCUUGGAAGGAUAAGCUAGUGGGUAAGGGACAAUCAGAUCCGAAGAAGACGGUUGAAUUCUUAUAUUCGAAAGGUGAUGAUGAUUUUGAAUUCUGUAAAGGGGAUAUUAGGAAAUCAGCUAUCAAUGGCAUUUCUUUGAUUGAGUUUUUGGAAAGGGUUCAUCAGUUUCUCAUCCAGGAUAUGUCUACUAUGGUAGAGCUAAAACUGUUGAGACGUAAUACAGGGUAUGCGACUCUUUUUAAUAUACGAUUCAUAGUAUUUGGAGACCUUUUGCACCGAUCCAAUUGAUGGACAUUGGAAACAGUUAUUUUCUGGCAAAAUUCUUGAACAAAGGGGAUUUCGACAAAGUGAUAUCUCAAGGGCCUUGGGUCGUCUUCAGACAAUAUCUGACGGUGUAAUCUUGGACAGUUGAUUUUAAUCCAGCUUAUCCAUACCUUAGUGUUGUCAAGACUUGGAUUAGAUUACAAGGUCUUUCGAGGCAUUUGUACAAGAGAAAGGUCCUCUAGAAUAUUAGGGAAAUGAUAGGGAGACUUGCUAAACUAGAUUUCAACACGGAUACUUAAGUAAGGGGGUGUUUUGCUCGUAUGGUCGUCUAUAUUAAUCUGGACAAACUGUUGGUGUUACAGGUGUUGAUUAAUGGCAAAUCUCAAUAAAUUGAAUACGAAUCAUUACCGGUUGUCUGCUUCUCUUAUGGAUGUUAUGGUUAUUUGAAGGAGGCUUGUACUUGGGUCAGGAGCAUGGCGCAAUCGGAGAAGCAAAACUCAUCAACUAAAACGCCCACGGAGGAGGUCGGCAUAGAAAAUGGGAAGGACAUUUACGGGCUGUAGAUGGUUGUUGAGAGGAGAUCACAGUGAUUUCAAGCCAACAGAUAUAUGAAGAGGAAAAUCCAGGAAGAAUUUUUGAAGGAUCUAGAUUCUCUACGUUAAUUUUCUUAGAUAAAAAUGAAGAAAUUAGUGCUAAUGGUGGUGAGAAAUCUAAGGAUUUCAAAUCUAAGGGAAAGGAACUUAUUGUUAAUUCUGACUUAGGGGUUUCGAUUAAUGAUAGCAAGGUUGUCGGUGGGAUUUCUGGGAGUUGGGUAGCAAGGUUGCUCAAGUGGGCUACGUGAAGAUGGUUGGCUUGUCAGGCCCGAUGGUGAGUGGCAGUUUAGUGGAUGGUAGUGGGGAUCCUGGGUGGGCAGGAGCCUCUUCUUCUAAAGGCCCAAGUAAGGUUAUUGUUUUUGAAAGUAGACCAAACCAAAUUGGGAAACCAACAAAAAUUCUUAAUGGAGUUAACGGUGACUGUGAU